rnacentral:rRNA from 1 species
AGCAGCCGCGGUAAUUCCAGCUCCAAUAGCGUAUAUUAAAGUUGUUGCGGUUAAAAAGCUCGUAGUUGAAUUUCGGGAUUGGCGCAUCGGUCGUGCCUCACGGGGUAUGAACUGGUGCAGUCAAUUUCUCACCUUCUGGAGAACCGCGAUGUCCUUAAUUGGAUGCCGUGGGGAACCAGGACCUUUACUUUGAAAAAAUUAGAGUGUUUAAAGCAGGCAUUUUUGCCUGAAUACAUUAGCAUGGAAUAAUAAAAUAGGACGGCAUGGUUCUAUUUUGUUGGUUUCUAGGACCACCGUAAUGAUUAAUAGGGAUAGUUGGGGGCAUUAGUAUUCAAUUGUCAGAGGUGAAAUUCUUGGAUUUAUUGAAGACUAACUACUGCGAAAGCAUUUGCCAAGGAUGUUUUCAUUAAUCAAGAACGAAAGUUAGGGAUCGAAGACGAUCAGAUACCGUCGUAGUCUUAACCAUAAACUAUGACCGACUAGGAAUCAGACGAUGUUAAUUUUUAAUGUACUUCGUUUGGCACCUUACGGGUAAAACC